rnacentral:rRNA from 1 species
GAUGAACGCUGGCGGCGUGCCUAAUACAUGCAAGUCGAGCGAACAGACGAGGAGCUUGCUCCUCUGACGUUAGCGGCGGACGGGUGAGUAACACGUGGAUAACCUACCUAUAAGACUGGGAUAACUUCGGGAAACCGGAGCUAAUACCGGAUAAUAUAUUGAACCGCAUGGUUCAAUAGUGAAAGACGGUUUUGCUGUCACUUAUAGAUGGAUCCGCGCCGCAUUAGCUAGUUGGUAAGGUAACGGCUUACCAAGGCAACGAUGCGUAGCCGACCUGAGAGGGUGAUCGGCCACACUGGCACUGAGACACGGUCCAGACUCCUACGGGAGGCAGCAGUAGGGAAUCUUCCGCAAUGGGCGAAAGCCUGACGGAGCAACGCCGCGUGAGUGAUGAAGGUCUUCGGAUCGUAAAACUCUGUUAGUAGGGAAGAACAAAUGUGUAAGUAACUAUGCACGUCUUGACGGUACCUAAUCAGAAAGCCACGGCUAACUACGUG